rnacentral:lncRNA from 1 species
AGAUGAAGUUUACAGCUAGUUGGCUAGAAGUCUGGGUGAUGAAAGUGGAGGCAAUAUUUCGGCUCUGAGCCUUUUAUCCUUGUGAUCUGACACUAACUGCAGACAGUGAUCAAAAAUGAAUUAUCAGAUUCCUACAUGGUGCUCAGAAAAUAAACUGGAGAAAAGCCCGACUACACUGCCAAAACUGCAGACUAAGGACAGUUCAUACACAUCUAAAGUUCAUAAACACGCAAAGGAAAGAGUAAUUAGUGAUAAAAAAUUAAUACAAAAAUACCUACAAACACUUCAAGGAAGAAAGUAUGCCCCAAGAAAUUUUAUCCAGACUAACUAUAUAUAGUUCAUGAUUAAAAGCAGUUAAAAACUAACAAAUAUGUAAAAACUAGCAAAUACGUAAACAGUUAAAAGCUAGCAAAUAUGAAAAAUUCAAACUGUUCUUAUGAGCUAACCUUUAGCCAAGCAGUAGCCAAGGCAAAAGACAAGUUGUGAGCAUGAUCUCAAGGUUAUUAAAAAGCUGUCACUACCAAAUACAAUGUAAAUGCUACCAUCUCUAUGUUCAAUGAUCAACAAAAAGUAGGAUAAAGGGACUGAUAUAUGUUCACAUAUUUAUGCUAAACUGCUUUAUACCUUUAAACAUAAGUCACAGUUUAUCUCUAUCAAUAACAUAUUCUAUUAUAAAAGAAGAUGCCAUAAUAUAGGUAAGCUUAAUAUGUUCAUUUUAAGAUGAUUGAAAAAGUAUAAGGAAACCAACUACUUUAUAAGCCAAAAAUAUAUAUUUACCUGGUUAAUUGGAGCUGCACAGGAAAAAUGCCCCUCCCAAAAGCUAUAGAUUGGUAAACAAAAAGCCUAGUGUCAUAGUGUUGUUAGCCAGGGAGAGGGUCCUAGAGAUCACCCCCAAAACGAUACAAGUAAUUGCGAUUGCUCUUGGUACCCACUAAAACUUGAUGGUAAGACGUCAUAUGAUCUUGAUUAUAGCACACAGAGAAUCAAACUGGUCUGAAAGCCUCCUCCCUGCUAGACAGUUUUCUCAGUGCUAGAACAUGCUGGCUACUGGAAGGAAAAAAGCUACCAACUCAUACCCUGCUGAAAAGUCCUGUGAGCUAUAAUAACCAGCCUGCUCAUGAACGCAAUAGUGUCAUGAAUGCUACAGAAGUAACCAAGAGAUUUUUAAAACAAGCUUCAGGCCCACUGUACUGGAGGGAACUCAUACCUAGAACUGUGUACCUGAUCAAGAGCCACGGCUUGGGAGACCACAAAUUCUACUAUUACUAUUUUAUCCAGGGGACAUAGUACUAAACUGCCAUUUAAAUACUUAUCCUAUAUCCAACCUAGUGCAAUUCUUACCCUUCAUCGGAGAAGUUUCUAUGCAGCAGAUGGUAGUUAAUAUAGAGAAUCACAACUGGCCAAACUGCACAGAAUAAGCGUCUGUGGCGUACUCAGCCCUAAAUUGCACCUCCUCCCAAACAUGGCUCACCCCACAGAAGAGGCUGUGAAAGACUGUAAGAGCCAGAAAAUAGGGAAGACUGCUACAAAACUGUUUUCUAAGACCUAACAGGAUGUCUUACUCACGAAAUUACAGUAGCUUAUGACUGUUAGAAAAAGACCUGCACAGGGCACAACCAGUCAAUAGUCCAGCACUAGCAGCACUGCUGAGGGAGCCCUUUACCUACUGGAGGUACUAUUGGCAGCUGAUGACUGCUGCAGUAGACAGUCCAUCUUCUUCAGCAGCAUAACCAGCCCACAGUAGUCGUCGCCACGCUCCAGUGGAUGCUGCCCUAUGCCCUGCAUAUUUAGGCAUCACUAAAUUCAGUAAGUUGCAAAAAAAGAAAGAGAAAUAACAAAACAUGAAAUUAGGAGAAAAUAUCACGAGAGUCCAGGAAGAUCUGUUGAGGAGAAGUGGUCUAAAAUCAUUGUAGUCACAUGUGAAAUUAUCAAAGAAUAAAUAAAAUGGAGGCUGAAGAGAAAGCUCAGUGGUUAAGAGUACCUGUUGCUCUUCUGAAAGACCUGUCUCAAUUCCCAGCACCCUUAGCCAUCUACAACUUCAGUUCCAGGAGAUCCAAUACCCUCCUUAGGCCUCCAUGGGCACCCAGCAUACAUGGUGCACACACAUACAUGUUGGUAAAACACCCAUACACAUAAAUAUAUUUUUUUUAAUUUAGGCUUUAAAAGAAACUAAAACUAAGCAGGGAUUUCUGAAUAGGAGAGAUUUCGCAUUUCUUCCUUUGAAUGUUAUGCAGUAACUAUGUGUUGACGCAAUAAACAUCUUGUAAAGUGCCUUUAGAAGCCCUAAGGAAUCUGCUGCUGUGCACCAUGCUGUCUUGUAGUUUUUUCUGACCACCAUGCACAAAAGUGUAUUUCUGUAUUUCACCCAUCAUAUAAAUACCAAUUCUCAGAUGAAAAUAUAUUUCUUCAAACUAC